GUGAACGCCCUCACGGGCUUAUACUAUUCCAAACCUCUGUGAGCCGUGCCCUUCGGGGCUAUUUUACAAACAUGGUGUAAUGAACGUCAUAUAUCAUAACAAAACA
rnacentral:misc_RNA from 1 species